GAAUCCUAAAGGCACAGACAAACUUGAAUUCUAAAGAGUCACACAUGCACAUGCACACAAAUACACACACAUGCACAUACGAACGCACGCACUCACACACACAAACACAUCGUAAGGGCACACACUAACAGAUACACACAAAUGUGACUGGAUUCAGGAAGGUGGGCGUUUGGCGCUAGUUCCUACAUCACAGUAGGGAAAAUUGAGAAAAAAGCUGUUGUAUAGCACACUGUAUUACUUAUACAACUAAUAUAUGGACAGGAAAUUAGACUGGAGUAGAAAUUAACGUAGGCAUUGUUUAAUGUGUUUCACAGGAAGAAUGUUCCAAGCAUUUCAACGUAGGUAAGCAAGGGGGGUUACAGGUGCCCUUAAAGGGACAAAACUAGAAUGUCAAUACACAACAUAUUCCUCCCCCUUUUGAUGACUCAAAAGUAAAAAGUCAAUAUUCACUGUUUUGCCUAGUGUUUUCUUUUUAAUAUAAAUUUUCUUAAUGUAAAUAAAUGAACUUUUCAGAAUAACCUUUUCUGAACUAGGGAAAGAGGGUAGACUGCCUCAGUUCCCAGACUUAACCCUGGGGUGUAUUCUGCCACAAUGUCGGGGGUAGUCUGAACUAAAUAGUCAACCUGUCAGGGGGUCCUCUUUCUCUUGCAGGGUAAUGACGACGUACAGGUGAGUUUACAGUCACACUGUCUCUGAGUCUGAGUGGUGAUGGUGUAUGCCCAGACUGGGGUGCAACAGUACCCUGAGUAGGCACUCUGGCUGGUUCAGGUGAGUCUGGAGCACCUUCCACAUUUGUAUGUUGCUGCAGUGGAUACUCAGGUGAUGGCUCAUAGUAAUGGUAGAUCUCCAGUUGCUGAUCUUGGUUUGUCACUUGACAGGAGUCUUCUCUGAGGUUGGUUCCUGGCAAUUCUGUUUUCCAGUGUGUGAACUGUGUAGGACACAGGCCCUGUUUGUGCAGCCACUGUGGCUGGUAUCCACUUUGGACCUUUGCAGUAGUUCCGAGCAAGAACUCUCUCUCCAGCUAUGAAGCUUCUGUCUCUUGCUUUGCUCCGUCUCUCCACCUGUGCUCUCUGUUGAGUCUGUAAAAUCUGUUUAGUCUUUGGAGGACUCAGGAGGUCGAGUCACGUGCGAAGCUGUAUUUUCAUCGUGGCUGACGCGGGUGCCACUUUGGUUGUAGCGUGGGGAGUAUUUCUAUAGGUUAACAGGAAGGUGUUUAGGUGUUAUUGAGGGAGCCGUUCCCUUGUGAUGAUUUUAAAGCUUGCUUCAUCGUUUGGACAAACCUUUCAGCGAGGCCGUUCGUUGCAGGGUGAUACGGCGCUGACUUGAAGUGCUGAAUUCCAUUUGCUUCCAUGAAUGAACAGAACUCUUCAGACACCAGUUGGUGGCCAUUAUCGCUAAUGAGUUGCAUUGGCAAGCCGAAGUGACUGAAGAUUGACCGUAGCUCUUCGUUGGUUCUCUCCGCUGAGAUGCUCUUCAUCACUGUGACCGCAGGCCAUUUGCUGUGUGCGUCAACGACGACUAAGAACAUACGAUCAUCCAGUGGGCCUUCAUAGUCUAUGUGGACUCGUUGCCAAGGCUCCUCUGGGAUGUCCCAUGGGUGUAGUGGUACUAGCUGAGGCAUGUUCCUCAUCUAUUGACAUGCAGAACAUGACUUGACCGUGUCUUCGAUAGCUGCUUCCAAACCUGGCCACCAAAAGUAGCUGGGUGCAAUCUUCUUCAUUCGCACCAUGCCACAGUGCCCUGAAUGGAGUUCUUCAAGCACCUGCCUCAAUGGUGGCGGUAUGAUGACUCGAAAACCCCAUAGCAAGCAUCCAAACUGAACCGUGAGCUCGUUUCUCCUCACUAGGUAAGGUUGUAGGUUGUCUGACAGCACUCCUUUUCCACGAGUGACCAUGUCCAGGACCUCAGACAUCCCUGGAUCAGUGUGGGUGAACUUUUUCACUUGGACAGAAGUAACUGGGGCGUUCGUCACUUCCUUGAAGUAGAAGAUUUCAGCCUGGGAGCUCAGUGUGUGUGACAGGUAAGGGAAGCCUUGAGAGGCCAUCUGCAUUGCAGUGCUGCUCAGACCUUCUGUACUUGAUAUUGUACUGGUGAGCAGAUAAUAAUAAUGCCCAUCGCUGCAUACAGCUGGCUGCAAGCAACGGAAUGUCGGUGUGGGGACCAAAGAUGGAGGUGAGGUGUUUAUGGUCCGUCAGCAGUGUGAAUCGUCGGCCAAACAGAAACGGAUGAAAUUUCUUAACUCCAAACACAAUGGAUGGCCACCCUGCUCAGCAAGUUCAGGAUAGACUUUUCCGACAUCAACGUACUCGGAGACAUCAACACUAGGCCCAAGAAAGAGAAAAGUCCAGUUGGAUCCUCUCUCCUCCCUUCGUAAGCUGAUGGCUGCGAUAAACAUUCAUUGCUGUCGGUGGGUUUGAUGUGAAUAUAACUCACUGAUCAAUGAAUGAACACUGCGGUUCAAACACCUCGAGGACCAAUCAAUGAAGAGGACUCUAGCGGGAGGUUCAAUGUAUAGCCAAUCAGGGACAGAGGAGUAUUAACCACACUGAUUCGUGAGCUUAUGUCAAGGGUUUGCUACUUAAAAUACAGGCCUACUCUAAAUCCCUACAUAACCUUGUUCUUAAGGGGCUCCUUUUAAACUACAAUGAAUUAGUUAGACUCCGGUACUAUGUCCAUUGAAACAGAGAUCAAAUGGCCCCUUAAUUUGAUCUAUUUGUAGGAUAGAAAACUGUUCAGUAGUUUAUUUUGCACAGAAUGAAUUGACAGAUAUUGAAUUUGGCCUGUCUAAAAUAUUGGUGCCUCUGUAGUUGAAUAUGAGUGUACCAAUAUCCCGGGCCAAUAUUUGAUGCAAUAUUUAAUUGAGCAUCCGCUUGAGCAACCUUUAUUUGUUGUUGCCAGUCAGUCUGCUAAAUGUAACCACGCUGGGAAUAAACAUUUUUCCACAUUCACAUUUUUGUUUGGUUAAAAAAAUAAAAAUGUAAUAAUCAUU